ensembl:lncRNA
GCGACAAGCGACGAGGAUGCCACGUACAGACGGGGAAAAGGGAGGAAAAAACGGGAUGAAUAAACCACAGUUCAGUCAGCUGUAGAAAAGCACCUUGUCAUACACACACAUGCUCGAGCGCAGGUCCUGACGCUCAGCCAACACUGCCUGGCAACAAGAAAAGAGAAUCUAGGUGUGUGAGUGAUCCGUAGAUCCGUCGUGCUGUGGUAAGUCCUUUUCCAGGCGUGGUUGCGGUAGUCCUUGAAGGAGAGCAGAGGAGAGAGAGACAGGCUGUCUUUCACAGGAGGAUGAGGAGAGGCCUGGUCGUACCUCACAGCUUCACGGUGUGUCCUCUUCCUUCUGCUGCAGUGUGAUGGAGUGCACGUGUGUGUAUGCGUGCUUCUGCGUGAAGGGAAAGGAAAGAUGAAAAAGAGGGGGGAGGGAGAGAAAGAGGGAGAGAGAGAGGAUACAGCCAGCCUGUCUUUCUCGACUACCACUGCUGCUGAGCAUCUGCACAGCAUCACGAUAUCACAGAAGCCUCCUCCCUGCUCAGCCAAUCAGAGCCCGGCUAUCCUUGGCCAUACCUCCCACUGCAGGUGACAAGAGGAAUGAGCCUGGAGAGGAGAGUAGAUGAGGAUAUCAGAGAGAUGGAGGCAAGAGAAUCUGGAAUGCGGCAGAGCCAGAGAUUUUCACUGGAGUGAGAACUGUGACAUGAUGAGACUGAUGGGAAAUGGAGCAAAUGACAUGACACAGAUAAGGAUGCAAAUAAUGGAAGCUUUCACUUUGGAGAAUCUGAGCUUUCAGAUUGAACCGUAUGAGAGGGAAGAGGACAGACCCAAGAGCAUUCUCAGUGUGCCCAUCCUGAACCACAAAAAUGAGGACUGGUCCAAUGUAUUUUGGCAGGUUAUAGGUGCUGUCAUGGCUGUGAACAAAAGCAGGCCAGGCACAUGUGCAGGGAGCUUUUUCUCAGAACAAGAUGAGAAAGUAAGUAUUUAUUAA